rnacentral:rRNA from 1 species
CCUACGGGUGACAGCAGUGGGGAAUAUUGGGCAAUGGGCGCAACCCUGACCCAGCAACGCCGCGUGAGGGAAGAAGUCUUUCGGUUUGUAAACUUCUUUUAUGAGGGAAGAAACAAAUGAUGGUUCCCCAUGAAUACGCCGCGGCCAACUACGUACCAGCCGCCGCGGUAAGACGUAGGUGGCAAGCGUUAUCCGUAUGUACUGGGUGGAAGGGGCGUGUAGGCGGGACUGCAAGUCCGAUGUGAAAAGUAGGGGCCCAACCCAUAACCUGCAUUUGAAACUGUAGUAAUUGAGUGAUGGAGAGGCAAGCGGAAUGCCGUGUGUAGCGGUGAAAUGCGUAGAUAUACGGAGGAACACCAGUGGCGAAGGCGGCCUACUGGACAUUAACUGACGCUGAGGCGCGAAAGCGUGGGGAGCAAACAGGAUUAGAUACCCCUGUAGUC